rnacentral:lncRNA from 1 species
UCAUUAAGUUGUUUGUUACUUAAUAACAGGUGACUGUUAAGGUUGCAUUAGCAUCAAAUUUUUUUCUUAAAUCAAUAAAUUCAUAAUCUGAUACUGAAUACUAUCAGAUUUGCUUGACCUCUAAAAGAUUGUUUCUGAAACUAUUGGACAAAGUCAGUUCUUGACUCCUAUUCUCUUCCUCUCGUUGUUCUCCAUCUUCUAACUUGAGCAUUGGAAGAUCCUCGCCGAAAAACACUUUGAUGGAGCUUUUUUGCAAGUUUGAAGUCCAAGUUCAGGCGAUGCCUCUAGCAUACAUCGUCACAUUGUCUGUUUGACCUCAGGUGCAAGAGCUGGAUGUAAUAGUACUCA